GCUGGGCGUGGUGGCGGGCGCCUGUAAUCUCAGCUACUCAGGAGGCUGAGGCAGGAGAAUUGCUUGAACCCGGGAGAUGGAGGUUGCAGUGAGCUGAGAUCGCGCCACUGCACUCCAGCCUGGGCGACAGAGCAAGACUCUGUCUCAA
rnacentral:SRP_RNA from 1 species